AAGAGUGUGAUCAAUUGAUUAAUUAAUUGACUUUUGCAAUUCGUCGACACCGGUUCAACAACGGCUACGCUCUCACGUGCCGGCCGAGGACACGGAAGUGUGGCCGUUUUUGACCAUCAAAUAAUAAGGGAAUAAUAAGAUGACGAUUAUGAAUUCUAUAAGUGGAAUGUUGUGAAGACUUGGAAGUUGGGACUGAUCGGAAAGCCUACUUGCUCCUCCACAGGAUGAUUACUAUUAACAUUUUCUACUGUGUGGGUAACUCGUAAGUGCUCGAUUUUAUUUAAAGUGCUCCUGAUAAUUUCAGGUGCACAAAUCUAUAAAUGUCAUCAUAUAAAAGGAAACAAAAUAUUAUUCAAAUGUAUGUUCGAUGGUUGAAUAAGAGAGAGUGAAUCUAGUCGUGCGGCGAAUUGCGGAUUCUUGAUUUUAAUUGUUUUUUUUUGUUUCUAAUUUAUUAUUUGUUGUUUUUAUUAUUGUAUUUUUUCGUGAAUGAUUUCUUUAUACAUUUUAAUUUGGAUGUGCGUAUGUUUUUGAUUGAUUUAUAUUUAUUCUUAUGUAUCUUGUAUAAAUUCCUGACGUCAGGCCUUUUUUAUUUUGAUUUUGACUGAAAUAUAAUUUUUAUUUCUUUCUGUAAA